GCACUAGUGAGUCAAGUGCCUACCUCCACAUAUUCAAGCUUGGCCAUCAAUUUGGGGUGGAGGGUCACUUAUAAUGUUUUAGUGCUACUUUUUUGCCCCCAGCAUGAUUCUUGGGGUAGGGAUAUUUUCAGCCUGCAUCAAUGCAACAUUCACUUUAAUGAAAAAUAGACAAUAUUAUAGGAUCAACAUAAUCAAAGAACGAUUAUGCAGGGGCAGUGAUCAUGGUGCUCAAGUAACUAACUAGGAAAGUUUAGGUGUAUGCAUGAAGUAAACCAUAGUUCGACUUGCAGAAGUCGUAGGGUAGGGAGAUAUGCAAGUAAGAGGAAACUAAGAGUGCAAAGUGCUAGGAUAAAUCUAGCAAGACUCAAUCAACUCUCCCACCCAACUAGAGAAUUGAGAAGCUCUCUAAUAAAGAAUGAAUAUUAGAUAAUGAAAUAAUAUUUUUAGACUUUUAUAUGAUAACUAGAAAGUAUGAUCUGAAUAAGAUAACUAAUUAGAUUCUUACCAUCCAAACCCCUCUAUCCAACCAAAGCCGAAUAAGUCACACUUGCGCCUCGUGUCAUCUGAUGUAGCAUUAGCUUAAAAUAGAGCCUCCUUGCAUCUGAUCAAGAGAAGUUGAAGUCAGGUUGUAAAGAACACUUACAAAAGGUGCUCAAAAACUUGAACUCUUUUGAGCAUAAUGAAGAAGAUAAACAUAGAGAAUUUAUAAUGUUCUAGGGCCUUUAAAAUCUAGAGUGCCAUGAUAGGCAAUUUAUAAUGUUCUGAGACCUUUACAAUCAAGGGUGUCUUUGGAUUUUGAAAACUAGACUUCUAGAAUUAGUCCCUACCUUAAGGGUAAAAUGAUGACCUUACUUUUUUUGUUUUUGGUAAUGAGGAGUCAAGGCCUCAAGUCUAUUACUUUUGAGUACAGGUAUAGCCAUAGCUAUUAGCAUUUCCAAGAUAGG
rnacentral:lncRNA from 1 species